CACGUAGGGGGCGAGCGUUGUCCGGAUUUAUUGGGCGUAAAGAGCUCGUAGGCGGUUUCGUAAGUCGGAUGUGAAAACUCCAGGCUCAACUUGGAGACGCCAUUCGAUACUGCGAUGACUUGAGUCCGGUAGGGGAGUGUGGAAUUCCUGGUGUAGCGGUGAAAUGCGCAGAUAUCAGGAGGAACACCGGCGGCGAAGGCGGCACUCUGGGCCGGUACUGACGCUGAGGAGCGAAAGCAUGGGGAGCGAACAGG
rnacentral:rRNA from 1 species